rnacentral:rRNA from 1 species
UACGGGGGGGACUAGCGUUGUUCGGAAUUACUGGGCGUAAAGCGCACGUAGGCGGGUUUGUAAGUAGGGGGUGAAACCCCCGGGCUCAACCCGGGAACUGCCUUCUAGACUGCAAGCCUGGAGGUCAGGAGAGGCGAGUGGAAUUCCGGGUGUAGAGGUGAAAUUCGUAGAUAUUCGGAGGAACGCCAGUGGCGAAGGCGACUCGCUGGACUGAUACUGACGCUGAGGUGCGAAAGCGUGGGGAGCAAACAGG